CWKCCRCGGYAWUYCCAGCUCCAAUAGCGUAUACUAAAGUUGUUGCAGUUAAAAAGCUCGUAGUUGAAUUUCGGGAUUGACACAUCGGUCGUGCCCUAAGGGGUAUGAACUGGUGUAGUCAAUUUCUCACCUUCUGGAGAACCGCGAUGCCCUUAAUUGGGUGUCACGGGGAACCAGGACCUUUACUUUGAUAAAAUUAGAGUGUUUAAAGCAGGCAUUUUGCUUGAAUACAUUAGCAUGGAAUAAUAAAAUAGGACGGCAUGAUUCUAUUUUGUUGGUUUCUAGGAUCACCGUAAUGAUUAAUAGGGAUAGUUGGGGGCAUUAGUAUUCAAUUGUCAGAGGUGAAAUUCUUGGAUUUAUUGAAGACUAACUACUGCGAAAGCUAUUUGCCAAGGAUGUCUUCAUUAAUCAAGAACGAAAGUUAGGGGAUCGAAGACGAUCAGAUACCGUCGUAGUCUUAACCAUAAACUAUGCCGACUAGGAAUCAGACGAUGUAYRAWWKYYYAAUGACUCGUUCGGCGCCUACGGGGAAAAAAAAAAC
rnacentral:rRNA from 1 species